AAAUUGAAGAGUUUGAUCAUGGCUCAGAUUGAACGCUGGCGGCAGGCCUAACACAUGCAAGUCGAACGGUAGCACAGAGAGCUUGCUCUCGGGUGACGAGUGGCGGACGGGUGAGUAAUGUCUGGGAAACUGCCUGAUGGAGGGGGAUAACUACUGGAAACGGUGGCUAAUACCGCAUAAUGUCGCAAGACCAAAGAGGGGGACCUUCGGGCCUCUUGCCAUCAGAUGUGCCCAGAUGGGAUUAGCUAGUUGGUGAGGUAACGGCUCACCAAGGCGACGAUCCCUAGCUGGUCUGAGAGGAUGACCAGCCACACUGGAACUGAGACACGGUCCAGACUCCUACGGGAGGCAGCAGUGGGGAAUAUUGCACAAUGGGCGCAAGCCUGAUGCAGCCAUGCCGCGUGUAUGAAGAAGGCCUUCGGGUUGUAAAGUACUUUCAGCGGGGAGGAAGGUGUUGUGGUUAAUAACC
rnacentral:rRNA from 3 species